rnacentral:rRNA from 1 species
ACCGAAUAGAUACCCGGGUAGUCCACGCCGUAAACGAUGGAUGCUAGCUGUUAGGAGUAUCGACCCUUCUAGUAGCGAAAGCUAAACGCGUUAAGCAUCCCGCCUGGGGAGUACGGUCGCAAGAUUAAAACUCAAAGGAAUUGACGGGGGACCCGCACAAGCGGUGGAGCGUGUUCUUUAAUUCGAUGAUAAGCGAAGAACCUUACCAGGACUUGACAUCCAGGGAAGCACUACGAAAGUAGAGUGUGCCUUUUGGAACCCCGUGACAGGUGCUGCAUGGCCGUCGUCAGCUCGUGUCGUGAGAUGUUUGGUUAAGUCCAUUAACGAGCGCAACCCUUAUGAAUAGUUGAAUUUUUCUAUUCAGACUGCCCCGGUAACGGGGGAGGGAAGGGGGGGAUGAUGUCAGGUCAGUAUUGCCCUUACGUCCUGGGCUAGAAACGCGCUACAAUGGCCGGUACAAUGCGCCUUAAGCCAACCCGCGAGGGGGAGCAAAUCGCAUCAAAGCCGGUCCCAGUUCGGAUAAGAGGCUGAAACUCGCCUC